rnacentral:rRNA from 1 species
GGACCCGCACAAGUAGUGGAGCAUGUGGUUUAAUUCGAAGAUACGCGCAGAACCUUACCAACACUUGACAUGUUCGUCGCGACUUUAAGAGAUUAAAGUUUUUCGGUUCGGCCGGACGAAACACAGGUGCUGCAUGGCUGUCGUCAGCUCGUGUCGUGAGAUGUUGGUUAAGUCCCGCAACGAGCGCAACCCUCACUUUUAGUUGCCAUCAUUAAGUUGGGCACUCUGAAAGAACUGCCAGUGAUAAGCUGGAGGAAGGUGGGGAUGACGUCAAGUCCUCAUGGCCCUUACGUGUUGGGCUACACACGUGCUACAAUGGCCGGUACAGAGAGCAGCCACUUCGCAAGAAGGAG